AAAGUGUACAAAGCCACACAAGAGGAGGUGUCUGCGAGGCUGUCUUCUCGCAAGACCAAGCUCACUCCAGGUUUGUCUCUCUUUGCGCGUGUUGGUGUGUGUGUAAUGAAGUCUUUAGGGGGUUGCACGUUGUCCAGCUUGUUAGGGGGUUGGACGCGGCGAGGGCGGGGAUGAUGUUGCUUCCCCUGGGACAGCAACAGAAGCGCACCGUCUUCGAUUAGCAGGAGCGAUGGAAGUUUUGCCGUGCAGCGCCAGACGCAGUGGCGUCGCGAUUUCAGCAUUAUUCUCUCCAGCUUGCCCUCACCGCUGCAAAUGAAGGUGGUGGCGGCAGCGGAAGUGUCAAGAGGAACUUUCAGGUCAAUGAUUCAGGCGCAGCAUUAGAAGACGUGAUGCUUGAUUACAACGAACAAAAUUACAGAGGUGUUUUGUGCCAAGGCCAGCCGUAUCUUGUCAAUAUCAGCCAAUGGUGUGAAUCUGAGUCGUCGGCAAGAUCCGGAAAUCUGGCCGAAUCUUGUACUCCGACCCUUCUGCGCCACCCAAUGGUCCUCGCACCAAGGAAACAGCGGCAGAUCUAAUGUGUGCUCUAUCUUGGAUUGCAUUUUCCUUGGGUUAAAACUGAAUAGCUAUAGCAAUCAGCGAUUUGCUGGAAUUGGAUCCUCAUAAAACCUUUCAAUAUGUGGCAUUUUUCACAUCUUCCCCAACAGGAGGUUUACUUGACUCUGGAAUGUGCAUUGAGCACAAUAAUCUGUUUUAAUUUGAUGUCUUUACAUUGAAUAUGUCCAGUCCAUCAUGAGAGAUCCUCGUGAAGAUAUCUACAUUCUACCUCUUCGAAUGUGGCGAACGUCAUCUGGCCCACAGUUUGAACAGUUCUAUAAAUAUUGAAGACGUUGAAGAGAAGUUUUGACCAACGUGAUUGUGCAGGAACCAAUUGCCGGCAUUUAAUUUUGCAAUGCGCGUUGAUCAUAGGUGCGUUGAGGUGAAUACAGAUGGUUCUAGAACUGAGUAGUACUGGCUCAAAAGUCACCAGUGAGGACCCGUCUGUGAUCUUAACACUCGCUCCUGAAUUUCUAGAGCUGGUUAAUUCAUAUCUACCCUGAGAUCUUAUUUAAAACAUCAUGCAACCUCAAUGAUGUUAUAACCAAUCCCUCCUCUGCGUCUUGAGGUUCUCCGUGAUGUUAGUCAUAGAUUAUGCUAGCUCCAUGUGGACUAUUUUAAGGUGGUGCUUGUAGUUGUAUUAAGUGCGGUAUUCAAAAGAACCGGUGAUCGCUUGAAUGUUGUUUUCCGCUUUGACCAUGGAUCACCUAGAAUUUCGAUGUUUGUGUUGGCAGUUGUGGUGAGGUAAUCAUGCAUAUGGUCUGCUGACAACAGCUCAAGAUUGUAUUGUAGCCUGCUAACUUUCAUUCAUGAGUCCACGUUGUUGAGCCUUAAAAAAGAAGCAAGAAUCGAUUCACAUGGUAACAGACACGACAGCCCUGAGUUUCCCAUAAAUAUUGUCCACAGUCAGGUUCAAUUGCUUUGUGGAAUACAGACUGGGUAACUACUGGGGAUAUUUUUUUCUUAUCCUCGACAAACUUACUGACCAGCACAGUGAGUUAGGUGUAUGAUGGAAACCAGCUGUCGAAGCGACCACAGGAGUUGGGGGCUCACCUGCAGUGUUAUCCUUUUGUCUCUGAAUAUCCAACAACUGCACCGGUGCGGCGGAGAGUCCCAGGCCUGGAGAGCAGGUCCCGCUGCGCAUGCAGCAUGUGAGCGAACACCGGGGCGGGCAGGGCAAAUGGAGGGAACACUGCCCAUCCAUUAGAUCCACAGAUUGCUUUAGAGGUGCAACUUGAAUACAACCAUCAGGCACACCCUAAAGACGACAUGAAUGAUUAAGUGGGGAAAGCGAUAUGCUAAGUUUAGGAUCCAGGCAGGAAAUGGACUGAAAUCCAUGGCGGAAGAGAGUAAAUUUAGAAGGCAGGGCUGGAACGUCAGGGCUAUUUUUUCCCCCACGACCAGCACUUUUUCCUACCACUGCCAGCCAGAGACCAGGCUUGCAACCCGCCCAGGUAAUGUUCCUUGCCUGCCUCGCCAGGCCCCGCUUCUGUCGCCCGCUUCCUCACAUAUCGCAUCCCCUCCCCUCCCCUCUCUCCCCCUUCCCAUCCCCAUCAUCUUGCGGCCUCAUCGACUCCAGGUAUCUCACAAAUCAUCAUCAUCGUCGUCGUCGUCGUCGUCAUCGUUGUUGUUUCUGACCCUCCUUCCUCCUCCUCUGCCACCCUUCGCCCCAUUUCGCCUUCUGUCUCCUGGUACACAUGCCUCCCUGCACAAUUUCUUUGAUGCAUACGAUUCCUCUUCGUAAAUUCCUUUCUGUCUCCCCCUCGAAUUAUUUUUACUUACACUGCGAUUUGGAUGCUAGUGGACAGUUUUUCCAGGAUUUGUUGAGUUUAUAUUAGGUGUAAUAUUAGAGCAUUACCAACAUGAUAACCAAGUAUUUGUUGUAUACAUGCUUUAUGUGCUUGUAAUCAAAUAACUACUAUUAUGGUUGAUUAGACUGAUAUUAUAAGCUUAAUUGAAAAUAGUAUAUUGUGUCAAGACUAAGUAAAUCAUUUUGCAUGUCAAAACUCAUGAAAUAUAAAUUUUUAUUUGAGUA